AUUGAACGCUGGCGGCAUGCCUUACACAUGCAAGUCGAACGGCAGCACGGGUGCUUGCACCUGGUGGCGAGUGGCGAACGGGUGAGUAAUACAUCGGAACAUUUCCUUUAGUGGGGGAUAGCCCGGCGAAAGCCGGAUUAAUACCGCAUACGAUCUACGGAUGAAAGCGUGGGACCUUCGGGCCUCGCGCGAUAGGGUUGGCCGAUGGCUGAUUAGCUAGUUUGUGGGGUGAAGGCCUACCAAGGCGACGAUCAGUAUCUGGUCUGAGAGGACGACCAGCCACACUGGGACUGAGACACGGCCCAGACUCCUACGGGAGGCAGCAGUGGGGAAUUUUGGACAAUGGGCGAAAGCCUGAUCCAGCAAUGCCGCGUGUGUGACGAAGGCCUUCGGGUUGUAAAGAACUUUUGUCCGGAAAGAAAUCCUUGGCCCUAAUACGGUCGGGGGAUGACGGUACCGGAAGAAUAAGCACCGGCUAACUACGUG
rnacentral:rRNA from 1 species